AGUGAACGCUGGCGGUAGGCCUAACACAUGCAAGUCGAACGGCAGCAUAGUAAGAGCUUGCUCUUACGGGUGGCGAGUGGCGGACGGGUGAGGAAUACAUCGGAAUCUACUUUUUCGUGGGGGAUAACGUAGGGAAACUUACGCUAAUACCGCAUACGACCUACGGGUGAAAGCAGGGGAUCUUCGGACCUUGCGCGAUUGAAUGAGCCGAUGUCGGAUUAGCUAGUUGGCGGGGUAAAGGCCCACCAAGGCGAUGAUCGGUAGCCGGUCUGAGAGGGUGACCGGCAAAAUUGGGACUGAGAUGCGGCCCAGACUCCUACGGGAGGCAGCAGUGGGGAAUAUUGCACAAUGGGCGGAAGCCUGAUGCAGCAACGCCGCGUGCGGGAUGACGGCCUUCGGGUUGUAAACCGCUUUCGCCUGUGACGAAGCGUGAGUGACGGUAAUGGGUAAAGAAGCACCGGCUAACUACGUG
rnacentral:rRNA from 1 species